rnacentral:rRNA from 1 species
GAUGAACGCUGGCGGCGUGCCUAAUACAUGCAAGUCGAGCGAACAGACGAGGAGCUUGCUCCUCUGACGUUAGCGGCGGACGGGUGAGUAACACGUGGAUAACCUACCUAUAAGACUGGGAUAACUUCGGGAAACCGGAGCUAAUACCGGAUAAUAUAUUGAACCGCAUGGUUCAAUAGUGAAAGACGGUUUUGCUGUCACUUAUAGAUGGAUCCGCGCCGCAUUAGCUAGUUGGUAAGGUAACGGCUUACCAAGGCAACGAUGCGUAGCCGACCUGAGAGGGAGAUCGGCCACACUGGAACUGAGAAACGGUCCAGACUCCUACGGGAGGAAGCAGUAGGGAAUCUUCCGCAAUGGGCGAAAGCUUGACGGAGCAACGCCGCGUGAGUGAUGAAGGUCUUCGGAUCGUAAAACUCUGUUAUUAGGGAAGAACAAAUGUGUAAGUAACUAUGCACGUCUUGACGGUACCUAAUCAGAAAGCCACGGCUAACUACGUG